rnacentral:rRNA from 1 species
GAUGAACGCUGGCGGCGUGCUUAACACAUGCAAGUCGAACGGGAAUUAUUUUAUUGAAACUUCGGUCGAUUUAAUUUACUUCUAGUGGCGGACGGGUGAGUAACGCGUGGGUAACCUGCCUUAUACAGGGGGAUAACAGUCAGAAAUGGCUGCUAAUACCGCAUAAGCGCACAGAGCUGCAUGGCUCAGUGUGCAAAACUCCGGUGGGAUAAGAUGGACCCGCGUUGGAUUAGCUGGUUGGUGGGGUAACGGCCCACCAAGGCGACGAUCCAUAGCCGGCAAGAGAGGGUGAGCGGCGACACUGGGGCUGGGAACCAGCCCAGAAUCCUGCGGAAGGGAGGAAAGGGGAAUAUUGCAAAAUGGGGGAAACGCUGAUGCAGCGACGCUGGGAGAAGGAAGAAGUAUGUCGGUAUGUAAACUUCUAUAAGCAGGGAAGAUAGUGACGGUACCUGAAGAAGAAGCCCCGGCUAACUACGUG